GCGAAAGUGGCGGAACUGGUAGACGCGCGAGACUUAGGAUCUCGUGGCCGCUGGCCUUGGGGGUUCGAGUCCCCCCUUUCGCAC
rnacentral:tRNA from 1 species